AUCCAGCUGACAAGUCCCUAAUAGGACGAAAUGCGCGUACUGGAU
rfam:Schistosoma mattheei strain Denwood, Zambia genome assembly, scaffold: SMTD_scaffold0017143